GACGAACGCUGGCGGCGUGCUUAACACAUGCAAGUCGAGCGGUAAGGCCCCUUCGGGGGUACACGAGCGGCGAACGGGUGAGUAACACGUGAGCAAUCUGCCCAUCACAUCGGGAUAACUCCGGGAAACCGAAGCUAAUACCGAAUACGACCACCUCCGGCAUCGGAUGGUGGUGGAAAGUUCCGGCGGUGAUGGAUGAGCUCGCGGCCUAUCAGCUUGUUGGUGGGGUAACGGCCCACCAAGGCUUCGACGGGUAGCCGGCCUGAGAGGGUGACCGGCCACACUGGGACUGAGACACGGCACAGACGAAUACGGGAGGCAGCAGUGGGGAAUAUUGGACAAUGGGCGAAAGCCUGAUCCAGCAACGCCGCGUGAGGGAUGACGGCCUUCGGGUUGUAAACCUCUUUCAGCAGGGACGAAGCGCAAGUGACGGUACCUGCAGAAGAAGCACCGGCCAACUACGUG
rnacentral:rRNA from 1 species